AAAGCUGGACUGAACAUGCUCCUGCACAUGGUCUUCAAAGUUGCUAAAGACUGGCCACCCUCAGUUGUACUCAUAGGUCACUGUGAGAGAACUUUUUAAAAAAAGAUACCAAAAACUGAUAAAACUGAUCCUAAAAGAUUCAAGAAGAGGCUACCAAAGAUAUUGUAAGGUAUGAAACCAGAGGAGAGAGUAAUGAUCAUUGGUAGCUCCACUAGACCUUUUGUGUGUGUAGAUGCUGAUGUUAAAGGAUUAUGUGUCAUGUAUCAAAGAAUCAUAAUGAUACCAAGACCUGACUAUGGAUCAAGAGUCUGUAAGUACAUCCAUACACUGUACAUGUACAUGU